rnacentral:rRNA from 1 species
GAUGAACGCUGGCGGCGUGCCUAAUACAUGCAAGUCGAGCGAACAGACGAGGAGCUUGCUCCUCUGACGUUAGCGGCGGACGGGUGAGUAACACGUGGAUAACCUACCUAUAAGACUGGGAUAACUUCGGGAAACCGGAGCUAAUACCGGAUAAUAUAUUGAACCGCAUGGUUCAAUAGUGAAAGACGGUUUUGCUGUCACUUAUAGAUGGAUCCGCGCCGCAUUAGCUAGUUGGUAAGGUAACGGCUUACCAAGGCAACGAUGCGUAGCCGACCUGAGAGGGUGAUCGGCCACACUGGAACUGAGACACGAUCCAGACUCCUAAGGGAGGCAGCAGUAGGGAAUCUUCCGCAAUGGGCGAAAGCCUGACGGAGCAACGCCGCGUGAGUGAUGAAGGUCUUCGGAUCGUAAAACUCUGUUAUUAGGGAAGAACAAAUGUGUAAGUAACUAUGCACGUCUUGACGGUACCUAAUCAGAAAGCCACGGCUAACUACGUG